rnacentral:lncRNA from 1 species
CCCCACAGAGCUGACAGACCACUGAUCACCUCUACUCAUCAACUGCUUAGGAGAUUGUAAUCAUGGUUGUCACAAAUGUGGCUUCAACUAUGACAGUGGCAGUUGAGCUGAAGAAAGGAGGUGGGCUUGCCAUCGUUGAAGAAGACAGAGACUGGAGGUGGCUCUUGGAUCUGUCUGAGUUGGGGACUAGGAGACGAGGUAAGUUGGGGACUGGGAGAUGAGGUAAGUUGGGGACAGUUAAGUUUGGGUUGUUUGUGGGGCCCCUCAGUGGCAACGUCUGAGUCAGCUGCAGGGAGAGCUUUGUGCUGGAGCUCACUGUGUCCCCAGAAGACCAGGAGAGGUUGGAAGGCUUAGGGCCAUGAUCUAAGUUGUGUUUAAAAGGGCUGAUUUGGCUGUGGGAGCAGAAUGGAUGAAGUGGGGAGAGUGGCAAAAGAGACCAGCAAGAGGCUACUGCCCUUGUCUAGGAGGAAGGUGAUGGGGCUGGACCAGGUGAUGGAGAGGCAGAGGAAGAAGCCAGAGAGACUGCAGAGGUCGCUGCCUCAGCAUUGAUGUGGGGCUGAUGUUCGAGCAGGUGGCGUGGUGGCAGGGACCCUGGGAGCAUCUGAAGUGAGAGAUCAGAGCCAGGGUAGCCAGCGGAUGGGGAAGGGAGAGACCAGAGUCCGCAUGCUCGAGUCCUUCCCCGUCCUUGCUCUCACUCUCUGCCCAGUGGCUCUGUUGCAUCCCCCUGGUCUGUCAAUCCUGCUUAGCCUGGUGCCCCAAGGGAAAAAAAAACAGGGACCCCCCCCCCAACCCAAACAGAGCAUCACUGAAGUCCAAGUUUCAAGGGAAAGAUUUUCUCAAAGGUGUGACCUUGCUGGCCAGCAGUCUCCUGCUCCCCGUCAUUACAGAGGCCCACAGAUGCUUUUCUUCUUUGCUCAGUUCCCACAUGUCCCUGGAGUGGUAAUCCUCCGGAAGCAGGAGACGAGACAUCAGGGGUCUCAGCCCAGGGUGAUGGAUAUUCAAAAGGGAGACACACAGGGCCAGGAAGGAGGCACACAGAGGGGCACCCACCUGAGUCUGCUUCGACCACAAGAUGCUGGUGCUUCUUACUGUCCCUUGGUUUGCCAGGAGGCUCUUAAUGACCUACAGAUGGAAGAUGUCUCCGGGGCCACGGUCAACGGCCCUCUCGUUCACAAUGAUUCCAUCUCCUUCCGUUUAGGAGCACCCCUCCUUGCCCAUUGCCGGCCAGGAGACAUACUGCAAGUGGCAGGGUCCAGGUAUCAGGAGACCCACAGGCCCCCUGUGGGAGUCUUUUAG